rnacentral:rRNA from 9 species
UCGUUCAUACUACAGUGGCCACACCAGAUCCCAUCAGAACUCUGAAGUUAAGCACUGUAAGGCUUGGCUAGUACUGAGGUGGGAGACCGCUCGGGAACACCAGGUGAUGAGUCA